AUUGUGGAACUGGUCUCACAGUAACAGCAACAGUAAGGAGAGUUUUGGAUUCCUUGUAGACACUGGAAGUGUAAGGAGCACGUAUUGAACUAGGAGAACUGCUCCACCUCAUACAGCAAAUCUGAGCCUUCCCCCUCUGUCCUCUCACUUUCCCUGUGAGUGAAGGUCAGCUGUCUUCUGCCAUUUUGGAAAGAAAAUCCUGGGCCCAAAGCUUUUCUGCUGGUAAGAGCUGCUCAGGCUACAGCAAGGUUUGGUGCAAAUUUCAGUGGAUCUUCAGUCACAAGGUCUGUCCUGGGUAUUCUAAUUGCUUGAAACAAGGAAGAGGUGAUUGUGUGUCUACCCAGAAGUACAACUUGAAGAAGACUUUGAUGAUGAACCUGAGGAAGACUUUGAUAUGGUGCAGGAACCAGAACCCCCGGCUGGGCCUUGUGCUCCUGAGAGGGAAACCAUGCCCCCAAGAGGGCAGGAGCAGCACCCCAGAGAGUGCAGGGGUAGACGGAGAAGGGGAUAGGGAUGGACAGGAGAAGCCAGGAGCAAUUUGAGUUCCUUAAAGCAAGGGAGGAGCAGUGUCUUCAGCAGGAGAAGAGACCUCUGGAGAUGGAGGUGAGCCACGCCCUAGGGAACAGGAACGUUCCCUAAUGGAGAGGCUUCGAGGACUGGUGGCUGACAGACUGCAGCAUCUGUCUGCUGCUGAGGCCCCAGAACCAGCCCAUCAGCUGCCAUUGCUGGUGCCUUCUCUGGUUGCCACCCAGGGUGCUGCUGAGCCUGUAGGUCCUGUUCCAAUGACCACCCAGGAGAACAAUGCUGGGCCUGCAGGAAUUCCCGAAUGCCACCAUGUACUUGCCCCUAAAGCCCCUCAGAAGAGAUGUCCCUUAUUUUCACUGUGAGUCAUUAUCUCUUAUCAUUCACCCCUUCUGAUGGGAGACAGGUGCAAAGAUUAAACUGUGGGUGCUAUUCUUGGUUGUGAGCCGUUAAUUUUAAAAAAAUAUGUUCUGUUUUGAGAAU